AGUGAACGCUGGCGGUAGGCCUAACACAUGCAAGUCGAACGGCAGCACAGUAAGAGCUUGCUCUUACGGGUGGCGAGUGGCGGACGGGUGAGGCAUACAUCGGAAUCUACUUUUUCGUGGGGGAUAACGUAGGGAAACUUACGCUACUACCGCAUACGUCCUACGGGUGAAAUCAGGAGAUCUUCGGACCUUGCGCGUUUGAAUGAGACGAUGUCGGAUUAGCUAGUUGGCGGGGUAAAGGCCCACCAAGGCGACGAUCCGUAGCUGGUCUGAGAGGAUGAUCAGCCACACUGGAACUGAGACACGGUCCAGACUCCUACGGGAGGCAGCAGUGGGGAAUAUUGGACAAAGGGCGCAAGCCUGAUCCAGCCAUACCGCGUGGGUGAAGAAGGCCUUCGGGUUGUAAAGCCCUUUUGUUGGGAAAGAAAAGCAGCAGGUUAAUACCCCGCUGUUCUGACGGUACCCAAAGAAUAAGCACCGGCUAACUUCGUG
rnacentral:rRNA from 1 species